CAGUCGCCGCGGUAAUACGUAGGGGGCUAGCGUUGUUCGGAAUCACUGGGCGUAAAGCGCACGUAGGCGGCUUGGUAAGUUAGAGGUGAAAGCCCAGGGCUCAACCCUGGAAUUGCCUUUAAGACUGCCGAGCUAGUAGGUGAGAGAGGUGAGUGGAAUUCCGAGUGUAGAGGUGAAAUUCGUAGAUAUUCGGAAGAACACCAGUGGCGAAGGCGGCUCACUGGCUCAUUCUAGACGCUGAGGUGCGAAAGCGUGGGGAGCAAAUGGGAUUAGAUACCCCCGUAGUCCCUGUCUCUUAUAA
rnacentral:rRNA from 1 species